AAUGCUUCAAAGAGUAUUGUAGUUACACCACCCAGAUGUGAAAGAACAUAUUGCUACAAACGUGCAGAACACCAAAACAAGAAAACAUCACUUUCUCCUUCUUCAGCUGACUUCUCCAGCUCUUCCUCUGAGCCGUUUACAGACCGCACUUUAUCCUGCACUUUAGAUUCACCAGGCAGAAAAAACAUUUCUAGAGACAAAAUAAAUAGGACGGCUGAGGAAAAGAAAAAAUCUUCUGAUGAUGGAUGUUCCUCGGAUCCACCAAAACCCAGUUCACUGUCUGAUGUUUACAGCAAAACAAGAAAAAAACCGUUAGCAGCUACAAAUGACAGUAUGAAAAUUCAGCCAAUUGUACUGUCUAGUGAUGACGAUGAGGCUGCCCA